rnacentral:rRNA from 1 species
GACGAACGCUGGCGGCGUGCUUAACACAUGCAAGUCGAACGGAAAGGCCCUGCUUUUGUGGGGUGCUCGAGUGGCGAACGGGUGAGUAACACGUGAGUAACCUGCCCUUGACUUUGGGAUAACUUCAGGAAACUGGGGCUAAUACCGGAUAGGAGCUCCUGCUGCAUGGUGGGGGUUGGAAAGUUUCGGCGGUUGGGGAUGGACUCGCGGCUUAUCAGCUUGUUGGGGGGGUAGUGGCUUACCAAGGCUUUGACGGGUAGCCGGCCUGGGAGGGUGACCGGCCACAAUGGGACUGAGAUACGGCCCAGACUCCUACGGGAGGCAGCAGUGGGGAAUAUUGCACAAUGGGCGGAAGCCUGAUGCAGCAACGCCGCGUGCGGGAUGACGGCCUUCGGGUUGUAAACCGCUUUCGCCUGUGACGAAGCGUGAGUGACGGUAAUGGGUAAAGAAGCACCGGCUAACUACGUG